rnacentral:rRNA from 1 species
UCUCAAGCGUUGUUCGGAUUCCUUGGGCGUAAAGGGUGCGUAGGUGGCGCUGUAAGUCGGGUGUGAAAUUUCGGAGCUUAACUCCGAAACUGCAUUCGAUACUGCGGUGCUUGAGGACUGGAGAGGAGACUGGAAUUCAUGGUGUAGCAGUGAAAUGCGUAGAGAUCAUGAGGAAGACCAGUGGCGAAGGCGGGUCUCUGGACAGUUCCUGACACUGAGGCACGAAGGCCAGGGGAGCAAACGGG